AUUGAACGCUGGCGGCAGGCCUAACACAUGCAAGUCGAGCGAGCGGCGGACGGGUGAGUAAUGUAUGGGAAACUGCCUGAUAGAGGGGGAUAACUACUGGAAACGGUAGCUAAUACCGCAUACCAUCAGAUGUACCCAUAUGGGAUUAGCUAGUAGGUGGGGUAAAGGCUCACCUAGGCGACGAUCCCUAGCUGGUCUGAGAGGAUGACCAGCCACACUGGAACUGCGACACGGUCCAGACUCCUACGGGAGGCAGCAGUGGGGAAUAUUGCACAAUGGGCGCAAGCCUGAUGCAGCCAGGCCGCGUGUGUGAAGAAGGCCUUCGGGUUGUAAAGCACUUUCAGCGAGGAGGCGUUACUCGCAGAAGAAGCACCGGCUAACUCCGUGCCAGCAGCCGCGGUAAUAC
rnacentral:rRNA from 1 species